rnacentral:rRNA from 1 species
GAACGGCAGCACAGCAGUAGCAAUACUGUGGGUGGCGAGUGGCGGACGGGUGAGGAAUACAUCGGAAUCUACCUUGUCGUGGGGGAUAACGUAGGGAAACUUACGCUAAUACCGCAUACGAACCAUGGUUGAAAGCGGCGGACCGCAAGGCGUCGCGCGAUUGGAUGAGCCGAUGUCCGAUUAGCUAGUUGGCGGGGUAAUGGCCCACCAAGGCGACGAUCGGUAGCUGGUCUGAGGGGAUGAUCAGCCACACUGGAACUGAGACACGGUCCAGACUCCUACGGGAGGCAGCAGUGGGGAAUAUUGGACAAUGGGGGCAACCCUGAUCCAGCCAUGCCGCGUGUGUGAAGAAGGCCUUCGGGUUGUAAAGCACUUUUGUUGGGGAAGAAAAGCAACCGGUUAAUACCCGGGUGUUCUGACGGUACCCAAAGAAUAAGCACCGGCUAACUUCGUGCCAGCAGCCGCGGUAAUACGAAGGGUGCAAGCGUUACUCGGAAUUACUGGGCGUAAAGCGUGCGUAGGCGGUUUGUUAAGUCUGUCGUGAAAGCCCCGGGCUCAACCUGGGAAUGGCGAUGGAAACUGGCGAGCUAGAGUACGGUAGAGGAGAGUGGAAUUCCCGGUGUAGCAGUGAAAUGCGUAGAGAUCGGGAGGAACAUCAGUUGCGAAGGCGGCUCUCUGGACCAGUACUGACGCUGAGGCACGAAAGCGUGGGGAGCAAACAGGAUUAGAUACCCUGGUAGUCCACGCCCUAAACGAUGCGAACUGGACGUUGGGAGCAAUUAGGCUCUCAGUGUCGAAGCUAACGCGUUAAGUUCGCCGCCUGGGGAGUACGGUCGCAAGACUG